CCUACGGGAGGCAGCAGUGAGGAAUAUUGGUCAAUGGGCGCUAGCCUGAACCAGCCAAGUAGCGUGAAGGAUGACUGCCCUAUGGGUUGUAAACUUCUUUUGUAUGGGAGUAAAGUGCAGUAUGUAUACUGCUUUGCAUGUACCUUAUGAAUAAGGAUCGGCUAACUCCGUGCCAGCAGCCGCGGUAAUACGGAGGAUUCGAGCGUUAUCCGGAUUUAUUGGGGUUAAAGGGAGCGUAGGCGGGUUGUUAAGUCAGUUGUGAAAGUUUGCGGCUCAACCGUAAAAUUGCAGUUGAUACUGGCAGCCUUGAGUACAGUAGAGGUAGGCGGAAUUCGUGGUGUAGCGGUGAAAUGCUUAGAUAUCACGAAGAACCCCGAUUGCGAAGGCAGCCUGCUGGACUGUAACUGACGCUGAUGCUCGAAAGUGUGGGUAUCAAACAGGAUUAGAUACCCGAGUAGUC
rnacentral:rRNA from 1 species